rnacentral:misc_RNA from 1 species
UUAAAGAGAGGAACUAGUUGCUGGAGAAACUCGAAAGGUGAUGGAACAACAACAUCACAUUCAAGUUCUGCUGCUCGAUUCAAUUUUCAAACCACAAAGUCGGCAGAAUUAAUACAGCGCAGGACGAACAAACUUUUUUCAAGUGUUUUCAACCACCAGCUCGGAUACAAGCGACUGCGCUAUUUAUAACAUAAAAGGCGUUCCAGUGGGAAAAGUGAUUUAGAAGCCAGUUGGGAGUCGUUCAAGAGGAAAUUGCUGGUUCAGCAACUAACAAGACGUGACUUGUUAGAGUGUCACCAUUCCCGAUUGUUUCCCUGAUUGAUCCCACAUCAAGUUAGCAAUGAGCCAACUUGGUAACUUGUCGGCGUCUUCCGCACUCUUUGUUGUGGCGAUUUUGUUGUUCUCUACGGCCAACGGCAGAGUCUAUCAAACGACCGAUACCGUCGUAAUCGAAGCCGGAGAUAACGCAGAUGGAGACGAGUUGUUCCAGUCGACCCAUUUACUGAGCAAUGCGUUUAUGAAGGUUAAGGAGAGGACAUGCCUUACGAGGGAGGGCAAUAUCGGUUACUGCACAUCCAUUCGAUCCUGCUACCCCAGAUUGAAUAAGUUUCAUCAUUUCAACAACUUUGAAUCGAGGACCUUGGCCAUUCGCGGCGCUUGCAUCUACCACAGAGAAGACGACAGACAGGUUUACGGGAUUUGUUGUCCGACAAUCAGCAGCUACGAUUUUGAAAACGAUGACCAACACCAAUUCUACAGCCCAUUCCCUUCGAUGCCAGUCAAUCCUUACACCGGAUUACCUUACGACGCAUCCCACGUUCAUUCGUGGUUACAUAAUCCGCAUACGAGGCCCUUGGAUACCAAAACAACGGCAUUAACCGAUGAUGAUUACGGUGACGAUGAAUCGAAAGAAGAAUUCAUUGACCCCGAAAGACAACAGGCCAUCUGUGGUGCUGGACCUGGUAGAAAGUAUGACGACGACGGCCAACGCAUCGUCGGAGGAAGUGAUGCCACCCCAAACUCUUGGCCUUUUAUGGCGGCGCUAAAAUUCAGCGGCAAAUUCCUAUGCGGAGGAUCUUUAAUUGCCCCGAAUAAAGUCCUAACAGCUGCUCACUGUGUGUCUGCAUUGUUUGGUCUUCGCAAUCGAUUGACCGUCGAUCUGGGCAUGCACAACCUGCACACUGACGACGCUCAGGUGACCAUAAAAGUUCGCCGAAUCAAAGUGUUUUGGGGAUUCAACUUUAGGACUAAAUUUAACAACGAUAUCGCCAUCCUGACUCUGACGGAACGAGUGAAUUACACUUCAACCAUUUCGCCUGUUUGUUUGCCUCCGCUUACCGGAACGAGAGACCUCUACGAGAACGAAGAUGCGACCGUCAUAGGAUGGGGCUCACUCAAUUACGGUGGAUCUACUGUACCGACUGUUCUGCAAGAAGUCAACGUCAGAGUGACGGCCAAUUCGCACUGCAAAGACAAUUACAAAUCGGCUGGCUUCCAAAUAAUGGACAACAGCAUGAUAUGCGCUGCUGCUCCUGGGAGAUAGCGGAGGUCCGCUGAUUUAUCGAUCAAAAACUGGCAGUUGGACUCAAAUAGGAAUCGUCAGCUUUGGAAUCGAUUGUGCCCACGAAAAAUAUCCCGGCGUCUUCACCAGGGUGGCCUCCUUCAGGCAAUGGAUCAGACGAAUG